GACUCGCUAGCUCAGUUGGUAGAGCAUCUGACUUUUAAUCAGAGGGUCAGGAGU
rnacentral:tRNA from 1 species